CAACUGCAUUAGGAAGACUUGCUUCAUAUGGACGAGUAGCGGCGGACGGGUGAGUAACUCGUGGGCAACCUGCCUGUAAGACUGGGAUAACUCCGGGAAACCGGAGCUAAUACCGGAUAACAUUUUUUCUUGCAUGGCACAAAAUUGAAAGAUGGUUUCGGCUGUCACUUACCUAUGGGCCCGCGGAGCAUUAGCUAGUUGGUGAGGUAACGGCUCACCAAGGCAACGAUGCCUAGCCGACCUGAGAGGGUGAUCGGCCACACUGGGACUGAGACACGGCCCAGACUCCUACGGGAGGCAGCAGUAGGGAAUCUUCCGCAAUGGACGAAAGUCUGACGGAGCAACGCCGCGUGAGUGAUGAAGGCUUUCGGGUCGUAAAACUCUGUUGUUAGGGAAGAACAAGUACAAGAGUAACUGCUUGUACCUUGACGGUACCUAACCAGAAAAGCCACGGCUAACUACGUGCCAGCAGCCGCGGUAAUACGUAAGUGGCAAGCGUUAUCCCGAAUUAUUGGGCGUAAAGCGCGUCGCACGUCGGGCUUCUUUAAGUCCUGGAUGUU
rnacentral:rRNA from 1 species